rnacentral:lncRNA from 1 species
UUGCAUUGAGUCCAAAUUCGUGCACAAAACAUUAUGAGAUCAUAACAUAAAUCCAUGCAAUGGUAUUUGAAAAUUAAGUUCAAAAGUUACCAAAACAAGCCAUGCAAAGUAACCAUGCGCAAGUCACUCAAAAAUGAUCCAAAAGCCAUGAUCUUGGAUGCUUUGGAAAGGUGACAUGAAGGGGAACAACUUUUUUGUUGAAUAAUUUUCCAUUUGGAACUUGGAUCAUGAUGAAUU